rnacentral:rRNA from 1 species
UUCCACAGCCAUAUAACCCUGCAGCCCAAGUCCGGUAACUCACUGCUAAGCAGGGCUGAGCCUGGUUAGUGCCUGGAUGGGAGACCACAUAGGAAAACUAGGUCGCUCAAC